rnacentral:rRNA from 1 species
UAGGGAAUCUUCGGCAAUGGACGGAAGUCUGACCGAGCAACGCCGCGUGAGUGAAGAAGGUUUUCGGAUCGUAAAGCUCUGUUGUAAGAGAAGAACGAGUGUGAGAGUGGAAAGUUCACACUGUGACGGUAUCUUACCAGAAAGGGACGGCUAACUACGUGCCAGCAGCCGCGGUAAUACGUAGGUCCCGAGCGUUGUCCGGAUUUAUUGGGCGUAAAGCGAGCGCAGGCGGUUAGAUAAGUCUGAAGUUAAAGGCUGUGGCUUAACCAUAGUAGGCUUUGGAAGCUGUUUAACUUGAGUGCAAGAGGGGAGAGUGGAAUUCCAUGUGUAGCGGUGAAAUGCGUAGAUAUAUGGAGGAACACCGGUGGCGAAAGCGGCUCUCUGGCUUGUAACCGACGCUGAGGCUCGAAAGCGUGGGGAGCAAACAGGAUUAGAUACCCUGGUAGUCCACGCUGUAAACGAUGAGUGCUAGGUGUUAGACCCUUUCCGGGGUUUAGUGCCGUAGCUAACGCAUUAAGCACUCCGCCUGGGGAGUACGACCGCAAGGUU